CUUAGUGGCGGACGGGUGAGUAACGCGUGGGUAACCUGCCUUGCACUGGGGGAUAACACUUAGAAAUAGGUGCUAAUACCGCAUAAGCGCACGGUCCUGCAUGGGACAGUGUGAAAAACUCCGGUGGUGCAAGAUGGACCCGCGCCUGAUUAGCUGGUUGGCGGGGUAAAGGCCCACCAAGGCGACGAUCAGUAGCCGGCCUGAGAGGGUGGACGGCCACAUUGGGACUGAGACACGGCCCAAACUCCUACGGGAGGCAGCAG
rnacentral:rRNA from 1 species